UUGAUUGGAUCCAAUCCUAGACAUGCCCACAACCAUUGCCACACUUUGAUGCUAGGUUCGUUUUGAAAAAAAAACGAGUUGUAAUUCAUUUAAGUCGAUAUUUUUGAUAAACUGAUUAAUUGUAUCGAUGCGCUAUUUUGAAAAAAAUUAUCAUUUUGGAAAUGCGCCCUAGGUCUAACUCAUAUUGUUAUCAGAAAAAUAUAGGGUAUAAAAUAAAAUAAUCCCAGAAAAAUAAUUAAAAUGGCCUUAUUACAACCCAAAACCAAAUAAUAAUAUUAAUAAGAUAAAACUUAUAAAGAAAUAAAUCGGCUACUUAUUGCAAUUAAAAGAAACAAAAAUAGUAGUGUGGCCAUCUCCGAGUCCCUCGCAGCUCCAAACCAUCUAAGCUUAGGGAUUACCUGCACAGUUAGAAACGGGGUGAGUUUACGAAAACUCAGUGUGUAAUCCCAAUAACAAACAAACAAUGAAAACACAGUAUCAGUACGGGGCCAAAGCCUUAUUCAAUCUCGACAUAUACUGGGCCGAAGCUUUUCUUUUAACAGUUACUGGGCCGAAGCCUUUUCAUAAAUCAAAUCACUAGGGCGAAGCCUUUUCGUAAACGGUAUGGCCCAUAGGCCCAUUUCAAUAACACAUGAAAUAUCAAUGAAUGUAUGCAAGCCCAUUUCAAUAUCAUAUGAAAUACCAAUGAAUGUAUGCAAGCCCAUUUGGGGAGACUACUCAACCCACCAUCCGCUACUCUCUACCCGCACCAGCCAACACACCAUGUGGGGAAUGACUCAACUCAACUCACCCAACCAACACACCACUGGCAACAUAGCUGCUUUAUCAUAUAACUGGAGGCCUAGCCUCUUUUAAUAACUGCGGCAAAGCCCUUUUUUGAUAAACUGGGGCAAAGCCCUUUUCGGUAAACUGGGGCAAAGCCCUUUUCGGAAAACUGGGGCAUAGCCCUUUUAGCACUUCCUCCAUUUAUAAAACCCAACCCAUGCAACAUGUCAUGUAUGCAGAAUGUCAUGCCCAUAUUUGAAUGAAACAAUCACAGUCAAGUCAUUCAUAUCACCAACAUAUAUUCACAAUCAAAUCCGUCAACCACACAGUCCAAGUCAGUCACUUGCCCACAAGGGCAAAAUAGUCAUUUUUCACAUUAUAAGGGUAAUUUUGUAAUUUUACCAAAUAUCAGGGUUUUUCAUGUUCAUCAACAAUUAUCAAUAUUUUCGAGUGUUUAAAUAAUGAUCUUUAACCCAUUUUAUCAAACUCGGGCUUUUGGGCCCAAAACCUCUAAUGGGCCCUACGAAUGCCGAUUUAGCCCAUUAAGCCCACAUAAUCCAAAUUUUACAACAGUACUAACCGUGUUAACAUGUAACUUUUCCAGAUUCCAUUUUCUAUCAGUUUUACCCAAAUGGGCCCGAAGCCCAUUGGGCCCGAUUCCAGCCCAUUGAGGCCCAACUUACCACCGUGCACAAAACUGAGUUCUUACCUGUUCCAUCGAUCCAAACACCGAUCAUAUCAUAUUUAUCGUAUUUAUACCCAAACGCAACAUUACAAGUUCCUGAAAUACCGGUAUUUUAGCAUUUCGGCUUCUCAACAAAUAUUAAUCUAAGCUAUUACGAGGGUUAGUGCACACUUGUUACGGGUUGAAGUUGAAACGUUUCCAAAAUCAAUUGCCUACAAUAACCACCACCUAUCACUCAAACUUAACUAAUCCAAUAUCAAUAUAUGUAAAUCCUAAACACAUCAGUCAUACGGAACAUAAGGGCAUAUUCGUCAUUUUACCAUACAGGGGUAUUACGGUCACUUUACCCUACAGGGGCUUUAUGGUCACUUUACCCUACAGGGGCUUUACGGUCUUUUUACCUAAUAGGGGUAUUUUAGUCAUUUCAUCCUACAAGGGUGCUUUGGUAAAUCUACAAACCAAGGGUAUUUCAGUAAUUUUGUAAACCAAUGGUAUUUCCAUAAUUUUUAGAAAGUCAAGGGUAUUUCUGUAACUUUGUAAAUCAGGGGUAUUUUGGUAAUUACAAAUUUAGGGUAUUUCGGUAAUUUCACAAACCAGUGGUAUUUUGGUAAUUUUACAAACUAGGGGUAUUUUGGUAAUUUUACAAACUAGGGGUAUUUUAGCAAUUUUACAGACCAAUGUAUUUUGCUAAUUUUACUGAUCGAGGGUAUUUUAGUAAUUUUGUAAACCAAGGGUAUUUUAGUAAUUUUGUAAAUCGAGGGUAAAACAGUAAUUCUAUAAAUCAAGGGUAAAAUAGUAAUUCUAUAAAUCGAGGGUAAAACGGUAAUUUUGUAAAUCGAGGGUAAAAUGGUAAUUUUGUAAGUCGAGGGUAAAAUGGUAAUUCUAUAAAUCGAGGGUACUUUGGUAAUUUUACAAUUUGAGGGUAUUUCAGUAAUUUGGUAAACUAAAAUAUUCUAAACAGGGAUAACAAUACGAAUGGGCCUAAAGCCUAUUCUCGGCCCAAAUGGGCCCACACGCUCGUGUGGCUCUUUUAGCCUAAAUCUAGCCACAGAUAUGAGAUUCACCUAGCCUAGUCUAAUAUUUACUACACAAUCAAACAACUUAUCCAAUUGGGCUCGUAGGCCUAUUGGGCCCACAUGACCCCUUUCGGCCCAUCGCGGCCCGAAGUAGUCAUCCUACAGCUAGAGUAGCGAGAAAUACACACCUGAUUGGCGACUGGAGUUAAUCCACGCUCCGAGCACUCUUAGCCGACGCCCAACCCAAACGAGCACGCCAUACAGCGAAAGGGAUCAGCCAAGAAAGGUA
rnacentral:lncRNA from 1 species